CACGAUGUAAUACACCUAAAUACUCAACAAGCCUUAUUGUAAUAGACAAAUAAUAAUCUAACCUUAAUUAAUCAUCAAAUAGAAAUGGGAGUUCCUCCUUCACAACCAGAAUAAAAUGUACAGUCUUAAAUCACAACCAGAAUAAAACGUAUAGUCUUGACAAUCUGUCAAACAAAACUGCCACUCAACACAUACAGUAACCUAACCUUAACCCAGUACAGGGGGAGGGGUACUAUCCUAACCCAGUACAGGGGGCAGGGUACUAUCCUAACCCAGUACAGGGGGCAGGGUACUAUCCUAACCCAGUACAGGGGGGAGGGUACUAUCCUAACCCAGUACAGGGGAGGGUACUAUCCUAACCCAGUACAGGGGAGGGUACUAUCCUAACCCAGUACAGGGGAGGGUACUAUCCUAACCCAGUACAGGGGAG
ensembl:lncRNA